rnacentral:rRNA from 1 species
CCCUUAGAUGUUCUGGGCUGCACGCGCGCUACACUGAAGCGUUCAACGAGUAUUCACCUUGCCCGGGAGGGUUGGGUAAUCUUUUGAAAACGCUUCGUGAUGGGGAUAGAUUAUUGCAAUUAUUAAUCUUCAACGAGGAAUGCCUAGUAAGCGCAAGUCAUCAGCUUGCGUUGAUUACGUCCCUGCCCUUUGUACACACCGCCCGUCGCUCCUACCGAUUGAAUGGUCCGGUGAAGCGUUCGGACCGUGGCCUUUGGACGGUUCGCCGUCUGUUGGCUGCAGGAAGUUCGUUAAACCUUAUCAUUUAGAGGAAGGAGAAGUCGUANCA